UGCCUAGUAAUAAAUUUAUUGUAUUUUAUUACAUAUUCCCCUUUUUGCACUUAAUUCCAAUUCCUCAUAUUCAAACUCUUCUUUCUGAAAGAAAAUGAUUUGUAACAUAAAAAUAUAAAUUCUGCAUAUUAAAAGUGCAUACACCUCGAAUAAUAAAACAUACAAAUAAAUAAUAAAAGGCAUUGACACAGUCUCAUGCAGUUGUCCUCAAAUAAUUUAAAAUUUAUGGUACAAUGUUCAACCCCAAGUAGACAGCCUGCUUUCCAAUUACUGUACAGGUCAAAAACAUUAAAAUACAGAAGAGAAUAUCAAAGGUGUGGGAAAGCCCCACGUCCCUGUACCAGGUACAGUGAUGUGACAUGCAGUUUGAGAACUGUAGAUAUUCCAGUGUAAAAUCUGACAUUGUGUCCAGAAGAGAAAUUGCAUUUGCAACAGGACUUAAAAUUCAAUUUUAACCAAUGGUGAGGCACAGGUGGUGAGCGAAUCUGUACAAACUCAUACUUGGAAGGCCACAGGACGAUAACGGAGCCACUGGUGGCCGGGAUUCCCGGGUGUUACCCUACCAAGGCAGUGCAGCACCUCCCAGGGGGUUAUUGCACUCACAAAGGGCACACGAGCCUGCGGCCGGCGCUGCAGGGCCCGGUGAGCCACGACUGGUGGUUACGCUUAGUUUUAAUCUGUGUCUUUUAAAAAAACACUAUUUGCAGAUAAAUUGAGUGCUAUCAUCUUUUAAAAAGUAGAGUUCCUAAGCCUUUAGAUCUAACACAGACAUUGUACAAGCCUUCAGGUGCUUUUCUUUUACAAAAUAAAGCUCUUAACAGUAACUGCUUUAGGAUGCUUUUGUUGAGAAAACCACGUAGGACUUUCAUCUCACCACAGAUUAAAACUAAAUUUCAGUUCCCUCCACAGGUAUCAUUAGAUACUGCCAAAUUCUUUUGGAUUAGUAGGCAAAUAACAAAGAUUUUAAAAAAUCCAACCGAACUAAAAUUAAAAAAAAAAACAAAACAAACAACACCCAAGAGUGAAAUUAUUUGGAAUGUUGUUUCCACACCCUGUCCACGCCAGCUGACCCAGGGGAGGGUAGCAAAGCUGCAGGGCAAGGAGCAGGAGGAGGCCUGGGACUGCAGGAAGCCCAGGCCAGCUGCCCUGGCCAUGCAGCACACACGGCCGCCCCGGGCACCGCUGUCCAAGCGGGCACGGCCCCAGCGCAGCAGCUCUGGAGCACGGACAGCAGCAGGGUGGGCAGCAGAGGCCAGCAGGGACCCGCGCCCCUCGCACGGACACUCACAGCAGCUGUGUGCCCCCCGCCCCUCCUCACAGCCCCUCGCGUGCACGCAGCCACACACAGAGCCACACACAGAGCCCCAAGCAGGCUGCCCUGCUAACAAAAUAAAAACAACACAAAAUAGAAACCAGCUUGUUCUUAUUUCCCUGCUCCAAUCCCUCUAACCUUACGUUACGCUCCAGCCCGGUCAGUAACGCAGAGUCCUGCAAAGGAAAGAGUCAAAGAUGUGCAAAGGAAGCAGGGAGCCAGGGACAUGCUCCUGCGUGCCAGCAGCAGCUGCACCUCGAGGCACAGCUCAGCCUCCAAGCACGGCCACGGCUGGGCUAGAGGCUUGCAUAGUUAGUAGGGACAUGCAUCGGGGACAGCACGGCCAUGCAAGCUGCAUCCCACCGAGGAACAUGGUUGGGCAUGCUCAAGUUUCAGCUUCAGAAAGCAAAACCCCUGCAGCGACGGCGGAUGAGGGCACUUGCAGUGCGAGAAGUGCAAUUAAGCUGCUAGCUUUCUAUCCUAAGCAUCUUGUUUUUAUUAAUUCAUAUUUGAUAAGUGUGAAAGGGUUAACAAUUUACACACCCAAAGUGAGACACAAGUUACAGAGAACUGCAGGCACCAAAUUGUCUAUCAAAUGUGAUUAAUACAAAUAAAAGGUGCCUCUUCAAUACACGUCAUUGAAAAUGUGCUUAUAACUUGAAUACUACUGAACACUGUCCAAAAGACACAGCCCAAAAAGGGUAAAAAAAAAGUCUCUAGGUGACUCCUGUGGGAAUUGAGCACUGGAACAAAGGCGCUGCCCUCCUGCACCCAGAGGGCCAGUUCCAGGAGCAAGUGGCAGACUAGGGACGUGGGGUGAAAUGCAAGUCACACGCUGGCACAGGCGACUCCAACCCGCAGCUGACUGGAAACACUGCCUGAAUGCCUGCUUUGCCUUGGAGCUCCCCUGUCUGGGAGCAGGGACUCUGCUGGGCCUCCCCCUUCCCAGGCAUUUCCCAUCACCACGAGGCAUGCCUUAGCCUCCAAGACCUUGGCAGGAAGGUGCCAGACCCUGCCAUGCCCCACCAGGCUGGGCAGGACAGACCUGGCAGCAGCUGCUCCCAUCGCACUCAGAUGCCCAUGAGACUUCCAGGCCCUACAUGCCACCACCCAGGGGAGGCAGAGGUCCCUGGGCAGCAGCAGCCUCUGGGAGAUGGCAGAGCCCACCUCCCCCACAGCCAUGAGUGCUUCUGAUGGCCAACGGGAACUUUAAGACAUGGCCAUGUACAUGCAGCUGCUCCAGAACAGCCUCAAGCCAUUGCUGCUUGAAGGAUCCAUAUGCAAAGCCACGGUGGUGUUGGCAUCUAGGACUUGGCAGAUCCCUCUCUGGAGUGUUCCCUGGUACCAUGCCACAUCCUGGCA
rnacentral:lncRNA from 1 species